rnacentral:rRNA from 1 species
UACAGGGGGUGCAAGCGUGGCUCGGAAUUAUUGGGCGUAAAGCGCACGUAGGCGGCUUAGCAAGUCGGAAGUGAAAUCCCUCGGCUCAACCAAGGAAGUGCUUUCGAAACUGCUGAGCUUGAGUACUAAAGAGGAUCGCGGAAUUCCCGGUGUAGAGGUGAAAUUCGUAGAUAUCGGGAGGAACACCAGUGGCGAAGGCGGCGAUCUGGGUAGAUACUGACGCUGAGGUGCGAAAGCGUGGGGAGCAAACAGG